CGCAGGACUUAAAGCAAUUUGAGUGCUCAAGGGGAAAUCCUUGAUGUAGAAUCCCUCAAAUUCGGGGAAACCUUUUUCCUAAUUCAGUAGGAAUGGCAAUCCCGAGCCAAGUUUCGAUUUUGGUCGAAAAAGGUGUAGAGACUAGAUGGGGGACACCUAAGGAAUUUGCUCUAAGGUGAAGGGAUAGUCCAGACCACAAAUGCUG
rnacentral:ncRNA from 1 species